AACGAAGUGAAUUGAAAUAUCUUAGUAACUUUAGGAAAAGAAAUCAAACGAGAUUGUUAUUUGGUGCAAACUAAAUAACAAGAGCCUAAUAACAAAACUUGUUAAAGUAAAAUGGAUUAAAAUCUGUUUGAAUAUAGGGGAACCUUCCUCUAAGGCUAAAUAUGAUAUAUAAGCGAUAGUGAAAAGUACCGUGAGGUAAAAUUUGAAAUAGUAGUUUUAUAAGCAGCUCGAGUGAAAAUUUAAAUAAGUAAUAAGAGUGUACCUUUUGCAUAAUGGGUCAGCAAGUUAAUUUUAGAUGCAAGCAAUGAUUUCGUGCGCUUUGCGCAUGAAACUAGCUUAGAUAAACCAAUUAUGAGAAAAUGAUUAAGUAUCUAGAAUUAGACCCGAAGGCUAGUGAUCUUACCAUGGUCAGGGUUAUAAAAGCCCGAACGGGUUAUCGUUGUAUAGAUAUCCGAAGAACUGUGGUAAGUUAGUGAAAGACAAAACUGACUAGUAUAGCUGGUUUUCCGCGAAACCUAUAUGAGUAGGUAAUUUAACUAACAUCUUAGCAGGUACAGAACUGUGAUCUCGGACAAUAUCUUUUGAUUUUGUCAACAUCGGGGGGUUGUAGUGACUUUACCGGAGAGUAUUUGCACUCGGAAUGGCAAAGAUGAAUGUUGAAUAAUCGGACAUAGUGCGAUAAGGUUGUAUGUCUAAAGGGAAACAGCCCAGAACAAGAGUUAAGGUUCCAAAAUUAUUGUUGAGUGAAAUUAAGGAUGUUUUUUUUAAAAACAAUCAGGAAAUAGGCUUAGAAGCGGCCAUUUUUUGAAGACCUCGUAACAGAGCACUGAUUAAUUUAUUUCUUUAGAAAAAAACACCGAAAAUUUAACGGAUCUAAACAAUAUACCGAAACCUUGUACACAUAUUUAUAAUAUUAAUAUUGUAUAUGUGGGGUAGCGGAACAUUGGAUAAAUAUUAAUUAUUAUUUCUUCUAAGAAAUAAUAAGUAUGGAUUAUUAUUAAAAAUAUUUAUUUAUUAAAGAUAUUUAUCUAAUAUUAUUAUACCUAAAAGGUAUAAUGUUUAGAUGUAUAUAUAGAUAGAUUAUAUCUGUCUUUAUUAUUAAUAUAAUCCAUCGAUAUAAUCCAAGAGAGAAUGCUGACAUGAGUAACGAAAAAGGAAUAUCCUCGCCUUAAGCUUAUGGUAUUAUAUUUAAUUUUCGGUAUCUAAAAGUAUUAAUCAAAAGGUAAUUUUGAUGAUAUUUAUAUAUAAAUACUUAAAAAUAAAAAAACAAAACCUUUAACAAGUAAUAAAGGUUCUGGAAAAUUUUUUUAUUUUAUGUAAGAUAUAAUAUACCCAAAUAAGGGUGUAUUUUUCAAUAUAGGUAUGUUAUAAGAUAUACAAUUUCUUGUUACAAGUUUUCAAGAUUGUAUAGAUUUUAUCGAUAUUGAAUGUAUUUUAUUUAUUUAUACUAUUGUAUAAGUAAGAUUUAUAUAUACCGUACCUAGAUACUAUCACAAGUAAGCAAGUAGAGAAUACAAAGGCGUUUGAGUGAACAAUCAUUAAGGAACUCGGCAAAUUGACUACCGUAACUUCGGGAUAAGGAGGGCCAUUAUGAUUAGUUUAACAUAUCUUAGGAUAUGAUUUAAUUAAACUAAUAAUAAGAGGAAACAUGAAAUAAUGUUGUACGACUGUUUAAUAAAAACACAGCACUCUGCAAAGAUAAAAUAUCAAAGUAUUGAGUGUGAUGUCUGCCCAAUGUCGGCUGGGUAACGGAUUUACCUUGGUUUUUAACUGAGGUUUUGAAGGAUACCCCGAUUAAUGGCGGCCUUACCUAUGAGGGUCCUAAGGUAGCGAAAUACCUUGGCCGUUAAAUGCGGUCCUGCAUGAAUGACUUAACGAUACAACAGCUGUCUCGAUGAUUGUCUCAGUGAAAUUGGAAUAGCAGUGCAGAUACUGUUUACCUCUAGAUAGACGAGAAGACCCUAUGCAGCUUUACUGUUACUAAUUGCAAGAGUGAAAAUUUAGGAUGAUUUCGAGAGUAUAAGGUAGUUGUUUGAUAACAAUGAAACACCUUUAUUCGUUUCCUACUAUAUGCUCUUGAGGAUUGGGAGGCAGUUUAUGCGGGGCACAGAUCCCACAAAAAGUACCUGGGUAUAUCCAAAGUUCAUUUUGUAAAUUUGUAAAUUUCUUUACAAAUAUUUUAAUUUGUUAUAAUUAUAUUCAUAAUUAUACAGUUAUUGUUAGAUUAAGUUCAAUAUUUAUUUUUUAUUUAAGUAAGAUUUUAACUAUAUGGUGAAUAGAUGUAUUUUAAACUUUACCCGGAGUGAUUCAACUCCGGGAUAUUUAAAAGUUUUUUCUCAUAUUAAUAUUGUAUUUUAUCUUUAUUGAUAUGAUAAUUAAUUAUACUUUAAAAGUUUAAUGGCUAAAUCUUGCUUUACUGUUUGACCUACAAGUCUAUCAGUCGCGUAAGCGGGGCAUAUGAUCACAAGAUGCAUAAAGGAAAGGUCUUGGAUUAUAGAAAAAGUUACGCUAGGGAUAACAGGCUAAUUUGCGCAAGAGAGUACAAAUUGAGUGCGCGGUUUGGCACCUCGAUGUCGGCUUAGCUCAUCCACAUGAAUGCAAAAAUCAUGAAGGGUUCGACUGUUCGUCGAUUAAAGAGCUACAUGAGCUGGGUUUAAUACGUCGUGAGACAGUAUGGUUUCUAUCUUCUAGAGGGAAUUAAAGUAGAAUAAAGAUAGCCCCUUCGUACGAAAGGAGUUGGGUAUAUUGACCUAUGGUUUACCUGUUGUUUAUGUUAUAUAUUAUUAUACAUAAUAUAUCAUUUACUUAUACUUAAGUAAAUUGUUCACAUAGGCAUGGCAGGAAGGCUACGUCAGUUAAAGAUAAGUGCUGAAAGCAUUUAAGCGCGAAGCUUACUUUAGGAUACUUUUAAACGUAGUAGAACACUACGA
rnacentral:rRNA from 1 species